rnacentral:rRNA from 1 species
CAGUCGCCGCGGUAACACAGAGGAUGCAAGCGUUAUCCGGAAUGAUUGGGCGUAAAGCGUCUGUAGGUGGCUUUUCAAGUCCGCCGUCAAAUCCCAGGGCUCAACCCUGGACAGGCGGUGGAAACUACCAAGCUGGAGUACGGUAGGGGCAGAGGGAAUUUCCGGUGGAGCGGUGAAAUGCGUAGAUAUGCGGAGGAACACCGAUGGCGAAGGCAAUCCCCUGGGCCUGCACUGACGCUCAUGCACGAAAGCGUGGGGAGCAAACAGGAUUAGAUACCCCCGUAGUCCCUGUCUCUUAUAC